CCUGAAUUAUUUCAGUAGAGAUGAUGCUACCUAAGAGUGGAAACUUGAUCUCCUGGCUUCUAAAGUAGGAUGCUUUUCUUCAAAUUAGCUGAAUAUGCUGAUCGUAUUCUUUUGAAGCUAUGGGGUCUGUGAACAGCAGUACACUUGAAGCUAUAAAAGCAAGCCAACAUUUCUUCAUAACGGGAAGCGUUCCAUGAGUCAGAACAGAAGUAAAAUUCCUUCAAGCUACAUUUAUGGCAGACAUUCACUGGGAAACAUGAAAGGAGCGUUGAUCAGAAAUGUGGACCUUUGGAACGGCAAGGGGUUUUGUCUUCUGAGGCUUGUCCUUCCAGUGAAUCUGUGUAUCGUCCACAGUAAGAAAUCAAAAUAGCAAAGGUUAAUUUAGGAAGAAGGUGGGUGGCUGUUGGAUAACUUGCUUAAGUUGUUAUUGUUCUUGGUGGUUUUCUUCCAUGUUGCAAUUGGGAGGGAAAAAAAAAAUCACAAAACGGCCUCUUCCUUUCUUCCUUUUCCUCACAUUUACCUUUCCAGGGAAGCACCUGAGCACUUAGUUUUGGGUUGGAUAAUGUCCACUUUUGACUCUGUGUGGGAAAAUGGAAACAUGAACUUGGUUGGGGUUUCUGUAUUCCUGAAAUCCGGUACAUCCCAAAAGAAUAUUCCUGAAAUACUGAGUGUCUGGGAGAACGAAUGCAGGAUUGUCUAAGAUGGAGGGUUCACUUUCAUGAGGAAAAACAUUUUCAUCUGCCUCCCUUGUUCUCUGCACGCCUGUUGUUUCAGGUGCUGAAGAGCUAUUUAACGGAGAGGAGAUUUGUUUCUUCCAUUUCCCUUUGCUGAUCUCUCCUCUUAUAUCAAAAUGACUUGAUGACACAUGAGAAAAUGAAGUGCACUUGCUGAGCCUUUAUGGAAGGAAAAACCUGUAUACCGUUAAAAGCUGUCUAUAGUGAUAAAUAGGCAGUUGGCAAGUGGCUGCUCUGGUUUUCCAGUGUGUUUUUCUCGGAGAACCUGCAGCAGAUUGGCUAUAAUUGCUCAUUGCUCUCCAUUAGUAGAUCUCCCUCCUGGCAAUUCUUUAAUAGUUUACAUCUCUUGGGGCUGAAAAUUACUAUUUUAAUUAAAACAAUUUGUUUCGAAUGGGGCUCCCAAAUCCCCAUAUGAUGUUUUAGAAGCCUUGGGCAAAGAGCUGAAAAUGGAGAGUAGCAAUUGUUUUUAGGGUUUGGCGUGAGGCUGGAAGUAGGAACUGGGAUUUUCACACAAUUUCCAAGGCUACGGCUUGUGGUGAGGCAGAAUAACCCUCAAAGUACUGAAACUGAGUAGGACGGAGAUUUUUGUCUUCUAAAUAUUAUAUUAAUUCACAGGGGUGGAGAAAACUUCCCCAAGUUUCAGUUUAGACUCAUUAUUUUCUUUGCUUUUGUGUAGAUUGAGAGAAAAAAAAUGUUUUUCUGGUGAAGGAAAGGUGAAAGCCAAAGAAAAGGGACCUUGGACACCUAAAUGCUACGAGCCCACACUUUGGAAGUGAGAUUGAGUAGCCAACAGCCAUGCGAGGGGGGUGUACACGCGAGGCAGGGCUAUUUAUUGCUUUGCAGAUGAAGCCUGGACCCACAGAGCCUGGCUCUCCCUCUGCACCCAGGGAGGCAGGAGACUCCCAGGGGCUGCGCUGUUUCUCAGCUCUCGGGGGUUUAGUGUCCAGCUGCUGGAUGUGCCCAGGGCUCCUGCUGUGAGGUGGAGCAAAUAUUUUGCCCACAUGAAGGUGCAGGUCUUACACAGAAAGUUUUCAUUUCUGAGGCUGAGCCCUGAAGGUCCCAGCGUGGUGAAUUUGCUGCAUCCUAGCAGCUUUGAGAACUACACAAAGCUUCAUUCCAAGCAGUAUUUUAUUCUUUUUAUAAGUGUGUGAGUAUAUAUAUAUGUAUAAAAUAUGUAUUUAUUUUAUAUUAUUUUUUUAGUAUUAUAUAUAACGUAGGUAUGUGUAUAAUAUAUAAAAAAUACACGUUCAUGUGCUGUUCUGAAACAUCCUAGUGGUGAGAGCACCUGCUGUGGAAACAGAAGAUGCAGGUUCACUGUUGUCCUCGGACGGUGGGUACCAGCCUCCCACCUCGAGGGGAACGCUCCAGCCAGCUUCCCCAUCCCCAAGGCCCAUGCAACCAAGCUAUGGAGCCAGGCUCCCUUCUUCUGUCUCUUCAGCCUCAUAAAAAUUAGGUUUCUUCUUCAGGAUUGUUUCAUCUUUAUUUUAUGGUCCUUCUUCCCCAGCCACCAUUCUCACCGUUAGCCUGUUAUACUACACAGCAGAAAAGGCACCUCCCCUCGGCAAAGGAGAGCCUGGCUGCUGGCAUGCAGGCUUGUGAUUUAAGCAUCUCCUUGCAGAGUGGUUUCAGACUCUCCAACAGUAUCAAACAGGCAUUUAAUUCAUGCCUGCCAAUAAUGCCUGUUUCCCUGAACGCUGUUGCUUGCUCCCACUGCCAUGGUGUGAAUCCUGUUUCCUGAGGUUUGGUGAAAAGCGUAACUCCUCUCCUGGCUGAGAUGCUAAGGUCUGUAACCCUGCCCCACAUGGUGUGUUACAAGUGCUCAACGGUUGCGUUGGUAUUAAUGACUAUGAAUAUAUACAGCAUGAAACGUUCACAGAAAGGCUCUUCAGCAAUGCUCCUCUGUAGGGGGAUAGAGGAGAGGAAGCUCUGGAGCAUCAGCUUGCUGGGGGUGGGAAGACCUCUGGCAUCUCUCCAAGCAGGGCUGGCCAGCACCCCAUCCCUUCCACUGCAGCUAUGCCCUGUUGGGAGCUGAGGGUGUAAAGCUGAGGGUCUGAUGCAGCACACAGCUGCUGGGAACAUCUGCAAUGGGGUUUGGCAAUCUGCAGCAGCCCGGAAAGCUAGAUUAGACAAAAGCUAUCAAUUCAUAGCAGGUUUGUCUUGAAAUGUCUUGUUAAGUGCUGCUCGGCUAAAAACUCUGCAUGUGCCUGGGUACAAAGCCUGGCUGAGGCUGGAGGUUCUUUCUGAAGAUGUAAUUCCCAAAGCUCCUACCUUCCCUGGCUGGAACAGUCUGAAAUGAUAAUGCAAAGAGGUCUCUCUGUACUUUACGGCAUGGCAAAAGAAUCAAAAAACUCAAAGGCUAGGAUUACCAAGGGCUCAAGAUAAGAAGAGUGACACCAUGCAGAACACAUGAGAAAGUCUUAGGCUGGGGGAAAAAAAUAAUAAUCCGUUGUGUAAGUGAUGCAGCAGUCACGGCAUGCCAUCAGAGACUGAUCAGAGGAGACAGCGAGCGCAGGCGCUCUGUUGUGCUGCCUUGGCUUAGGGUGGUGCGAGCGCGUGGUGACUUGCCUGUUGCCUAGCAAGCUCUCAGCUUUGCUAUAUAGGCUUGUGUAGAAAAUUAAGCUGCUAAGGCAUGACAAUAUAUUUUGCCUUCUGUAGAACUGAUAAGAGUUAUUACUGUUCCAAUGUUGCCAUUAUUUUAUCUCCUGACUGGCCGCUUUAUUCAAUUUUCUUCGAGUCCAUGUGCUUUGUGGUGUGCUCAUUUUGCUCUUCCUUCCUUCCACCAUUGCUUUAUGCACUUCUCUCCAGGGUGGUUACUUCUGACUGCUUUGCUUAAGUGACCAUGAACUAUGGGUAUGCAUUAGUUUAAACACAUGCUGGAUUAUUAGGAAUGCUUGGCUUUAUUCUGGCUUUGUAAUGAGCUUUAUUUGCAUUUUAUUUGUGCUGCUUUUGUUCUUGUUUUCCUGCUGCUGUCAAAACUGUGAGGUCUGAAUAGUUUCUGGUAUGUGCUUAAAUCAUAUUAUUUGCUUGUGAAGGUCUGCUUGUAUGCCUAGCAUCCAAAAAGACUUAAUUUCCAAGGAUAUUGAUAAUUUAAGAUCUAAUUAGCUGCUCUGCAAAGGUAUUUAAAUGUUCAGACCUCUUCUAUCCAUUAUGCAGGGCCAUUUUUAUCUUUUUGCCACAGAUCCUAUCCCAGUAGGUAGCGUGUCAGGCCUGCCAGGUUAUGAUGAAAUUCCUGACCAUCUGUUAUCCACGGGCCGUUGGUCUCUGCCAAGUAGUGCACCAAAGGGAAGAAGACUGGUUUCUUCAUGAAAAUGUGCUUCUGCUUUCUUGAACAAUCCCCAAAUCAGCCUCUGCUUUUUUGCUGCUACAACACAGCUACCAUAAGGGAAGGAUAUACCCAUCAUCAAAUAAUCGCAACUUUAAGAAAAGCAAGAAAAGAAGUGAAUUCCUUAUUGGAAGCGCAGAUUCCCUUACAGGCUAGAGGAGUGAUAUUUUUUGCCUUACCCUUUGCAGCCGUGGCUGCCUUUCCCUGCCCAGGUUCGGCUCCCAGCCCUUGUGCAGCUGAGCUGGUGGAGCAGGCACGUUGGGAGCAGCCUGCACGCUGCUGGGGCUCGGCACGUCUGAGGGCUGCAGCAGGCUCCAGGUGGGGAGCCGGUGCCUCUGCACCUCUCUGCAAGCGCAGCCACUGGUUUGUUCCUAGAGCUGGUGUUUUAAUCAGCCUGGAUGUGAACAUGCCGUUUCUCCAGGAUGUUUCGGGUAUUUAUGUUUGCAGCGUCGCAAGUUCAGCAUUUGGUGCUGGAGCCUGGGCAGCAGCUCUUUGCACUCCCAGUCUUGGCGUGGAUGUCAGCCUGCAGGCUGGCUGGCUGUAGGCUCAGGUCUUGCUGAGUUUUCCUGUCCUUUCCACUUGCGUCCUUGUGAUGCUGAAGUUGCAGAAGUAGAAAAAUACCGAGGGAUUACUAAAUAAUCCUACAGUAUCUCAACGGCCCAGAGAGAUUGCUAAGGUUUAAAGUUUACAAAGUAAUCUAAUUGCACUGAAAGCUGUUUUCCUGGAGCAGGUCCAGCACCAUCUUCGCCUGCGGGUUCAUGAUCAGCUCAGGGCAGAGCAUCGCACAGCCCUGCGGGAGCCGGUGCUGCCGGUGGAGGCUGGGACGUGCCAGGGCUGCUGCGUUGUGGGCUUUGGCCUUGGCGGCUUCUUUCCAUCCACCAGACUGGGCUGUGCUGGGGUCGUCUCUGUCUGACCAGAGCAUGAACCCCGUAUCCGGCACUGAGAAGUCCUCGCUCCAUCUGGUUCCCUAUAGCCUGCUAGGGCAUCAGCUUCACAAGUCGUGAGACUUAACCAUUCCCCCUACUUUUUUUUUCUUCUUUUCUUCCACAAAACCCAGUAUAUACACUUUGGUUCAAAGAAAAACACAGACUAUGAUUCAUAGCACCUAAUUACAGAUGACAGGCCAUGUUGUUGUUGUUGUUACCUGUGCUAUUAGAUGUUUUUGCUGAUACAUGAUGCUGCCACUUUCCUGCAGCCUUGAACAAGUUUGCCUUUCAUUACACCUGCAGAUGUUAGUUUAUUAUUGGUAUUUGUCAUAUGCUUCCAGCAUAUUUAGCAGGAAAAAACCCAAUGCAAAGCAUUUGCAUUUUUUCCUUGUUAGCUUCUUUCUUACAAGCAAAUAUAUACAAUCAACUUACAGUUGUUUUAAACAAAACUUAGUUUCACAGCAUACUGUGUAUUAUGAUUUUCUUCAGAUAGUCAUAGACAGGUUCUGGAGGCAGCCUGGAAAAAAGGCCUAGAAAGAGAUAGCCUGGAGAAUGAAUUUGUUCUGUUGGAUAUUUAAUGACUUUUGCCAUGAUUUAUGCUAUCUUUAAGACACAAGGAAUUCUUUUGACAAUUUAAAUCCCUACACUGAAGUAAGGUAGUUUUUUUUUUUGUGUGUGUGUGUGUGCGUGUGCUGCCAGUAAUAUAGCGCACUUAUUACAGUAUGCACAGAUUACCAAGAUUUUAAAAGUCUGGCUAACUAAAUUGUAUUGUGUAAUGUUUUUUGCAUGGAUUUUUGUGAAAAUAGUGAAAACAGUAUCCAGGGAAAAGCUGUGCCUUCAGUUUUAGUUUUUAUGUUUAUGAGUGUUUUUAUGGUGUCUGAUGAACUGAAAGGAAGAAUAUUUUUUAAACACAAAUAUCUUUCUACACACACAUGCUCACACAUUGCCUAGUAUCAUAUAAGGCUCUUGCACUUUUCUACUUGUGAAGAUGUUCUUUUAACAGUUAUACCAUACUACUCAAUACAACUUCUGUAUGUGUGAAAACAUAUUUAUGAAUUACAAAUAAUUAUUAAAUUGACCAAAAAUUCUGGAUUAUUUACUUAUCAAGUUGAAGUGAGCACUAAUGAGUGCACUGAGCUGAAGAGAAAUCAUGGAACUAAAUACCUGUUUUUCUUUUAAGCUGUUUUAGUUGGUCUAGAAUUCUUGAGUGAGCUGAUAAAUAUUGAGAUAAAAUAUGAUGUCCAAGUUAGAGUAGUUGCUGCAGGAAAUCAAGCCAAUUCAGGAUAUGAUAAGAGACUUAGAAAACUUAAUCUGCAAGGUACAGUAAUACAAGAAUAUACCUCCUACAACCUCUUCUAUUAUUUUCUAAAAGUCGAUGUGCCUUUGGUCAGUAUCCUUUGGAAUGACACUGAGCUUUAGGAAGCACACAGAUUCUCAGGUUAUGCCUCUGAUUUAGUGAUUUGCUCAUGUUGGAGACAAUAUUUUAGUUUUGGAGCUGAACGUGUCUGUGUAAGAUCACACAGCAACCUGCAGGGUGGUGGAUGUUUUCAGAUAGCAAAAGUGAUCAGUGUUAAAGAACUAAUAAAUCUUAUGCUCAAACUCAGCUUUUAAAGUAAAUAAAACCAUUUAUAAGAAAAAUUAAGGAAUUAAUAUUAUUUUUUUUCCUUCUGAGUAUAAUGCAGUGCCAGAAGUGAAUAUUUUUUGAAUGUUUGGAGCCUACAGUCUCAGACUAGGUAUACAAAUGCCAGCUGGAAAGAACUAUUAUUCCGUAGUUAUAAAAAGCUGAAAAUACUGUUCAUCCGAUUGUCAUGUUAACCUUAAACUCAAAUGUAGCUCCCUCAGUAGACCUAUAAUAAAAUGAAUAAUUAUUUCA